rnacentral:rRNA from 1 species
CCUACGGGAGGCAGCAGUGGGGAAUAUUGCACAAUGGGGGAAACCCUGAUGCAGCGACGCCGCGUGAAGGAAGAAGUAUUUCGGUAUGUAAACUUCUAUCAGCAGGGAAGAAAAUGACGGUACCUGACUAAGAAGCCCCGGCUAACUACGUGCCAGCAGCCGCGGUAAUACGUAGGGGGCAAGCGUUAUCCGGAUUUACUGGGUGUAAAGGGAGCGUAGGCGGUUUAGCAAGUCAGAAGUGAAAGCCCGGGGCUCAACUCCGGGACUGCAUUUGAAACUGUUUCCCUUGAGUGUCGGAGAGGUAAUCGGAAUUCCUUGUGUAGCGGUGAAAUGCGUAGAUAUAAGGAAGAACACCAGUGGCGAAGGCGGAUUACUGGACGAUAACUGACGGUGAGGCGCGAAAGCGUGGGGAGCAAACAGGAUUAGAUACCCUGGUAGUC